rnacentral:rRNA from 1 species
AACGAACGCUGGCGGCAUGCCUAACACAUGCAAGUCGAACGAUCCCUUCGGGGAUAGUGGCGCACGGGUGCGUAACGCGUGGGAACCUGCCCUUAGGUUCGGAAUAACUCAGAGAAAUUUGAGCUAAUACCGGAUAAUGUCUUCGGACCAAAGAUUUAUCGCCUUUGGAUGGGCCCGCGUUGGAUUAGCUAGUUGGUGGGGUAAAGGCCUACCAAGGCGACGAUCCAUAGCUGGUCUGAGAGGAUGAUCAGCCACACUGGGACUGAGACACGGCCCAGACUCCUACGGGAGGCAGCAGUGGGGAAUAUUGGACAAGGGGCGAAAGCCGGACCAGCAAUGCCGCGUGAGUGAUGAAGGCCUUAGGGUUGUAAAGCUCUUUUACCCGGGAUGAUAAUGACAGUACCGGGAGAAUAAGCCCCGGCUAACUCCGUG